CCCCAAUAUAAGUUUUCAUCUAACGAUUCUCUGGACAAAUAAUUUAAGAAGAAAAAAUGGAUAUCAUCAACUAAAACAGAUGGCACACACUUCUUCUAUACUGUAAUCUGAAGUUUUAAGUUUGAUUUCAAAUUUUCAACUAAAACAAGCAAAUCAUAGGACAUUGCAGCAAUCUUCUCCAAACAAUCAAACAAAAGGGAGGAGAAUGAUUCGGCCGCUCUCUCUUCACCCCAUCAUUCACAACACUACAACAACCCGAAAUCUGACUACUUCGAUCAUCAUGUUCAACGCUCCGAUCAUCACCAUCAUCGUACCUCGAAGCUGAACUACCCAAACUAAGGCAAUUGGUCAAAAGUCUCUCGAGACAAGUCCCACAAGGAAAACCGGAAUCCUCCAUUCGAAACAACCCGAUUUCACCCUUCCUUGAAUAUCCAUCCAUGACUGAAAAAAAACUCACCUGCAAAAUAAAUUGCAGCAACCACACAGAAAAACCAAAGCAAAUCAACAGGGAUUGCAGCAGCAAUGCAGUUGCUGGAAAAAUAUAACAGCAGAGAGUGAAGCAGCAGCAGAGACGUGAAGAUAGAACAUUUAAUUAG
rnacentral:lncRNA from 1 species